AUGGCUCAUUUUGCUUAAUUUGCAGCGGCGGGAACACCUCUGCCAGCGCCAGGUCCAGUGCCAUUUUUGCUGGCCCCACCACCGCCUAUGUCUGCUUUUAGCCCCGGAUCAUCUAAGGCGGCGGCGACA